CACAUAUCCCGGAAAGACGGUGGAACGCACAUACAGCAAGUUAUGGAACGCAUAUCCUUUUUGUGUGGUGGAACGCAAGAAAAGCGGAAGGAACGUACCGGAAGUGGGGUGUGUAAUUUCCUCUUCUUGGGAACGGACGCCGUGUGGCCGGGGAGGGGGAGUAUAUAGAGGAACACAGGAGUCUGUACAAGGACGUGAUGAUGGAGAAUCACCGGCCCCUCUCAUCACUGGAUGGACCCAGUAACAGAGAUACCCCAGAGAGAUGUCCCCGUCCUCUGUAUUCCCAGGACUGUACAGAGGAGAGUCACAGGAUCCCACAGGAGGAUCAGCUAGGUGGCAAAAUAUUAAAAAUGAUAUACAGGUUGAGUAUCCCAUAUCCAAAUAUUCCGAAAUACGGAAUAUUCCGAAAUACGGACUUUUUUGAGUGAGAGUGAGAAAGUGAAACCUUUGUUUUCUGAUGGCUCAAUGUACACAAACUUUGUCUAAUACACAAAGUUAUUAAAAUUAUUGUAUUAUAAGACCUUCAGGCUGUGUGUAUAAGGUGUAUAUGAAACAUAAAUGAAUUGUGUGAAUGUACACACACUUUGUUU